rnacentral:rRNA from 1 species
AUUGAACGCUGGCGGCAUGCCUUACACAUGCAAGUCGAACGGCAGCACGGGUGCUUGCACCUGGUGGCGAGUGGCGAACGGGUGAGUAAUACAUCGGAACAUGUCCUGUAGUGGGCGAUAGCCCGGCGAAAGCCGGAUUAAUACCGCAUACGAUCCACGGAUGAAAGCGGGGGACCUUCGGGCCUCGCGCUAUAGGGUUGGCCGAUGGCUGAUUAGCUAGUUGGUGGGGUAAAGGCCUACCAAGGCGACGAUCAGUAGCUGGUCUGAGAGGACGACCAGCCACACUGGGACUGAGACACGGCCCAGACUCCUACGGGAGGCAGCAGUGGGGAAUUUUGGACAAUGGGCGAAAGCCUGAUCCAGCAAUGCCGCGUGUGUGAAGAAGGACUUCGGGUUGUAAAGCACUUUUGUCCGGAAAGAAAUCCUUGACUCUAAUACAGUCGGGGGAUGACGGUACCGGAAGAAUAAGCACCGGCUAACUACGUG